GCACAAGCGGCGGAGCAUGUGGAUUUAAUUCGAUGCAACGCGAAGAACCUUACCUGGGUUUGACAUACACCGGAAAACCGUAGAGAUACGGUCCCCCUUGUGGUCGGUGUACAGGUGGUGCAUGGCUGUCGUCAGCUCGUGUCGUGAGAUGUUGGGUUAAGUCCCGCAACGAGCGCAACCCUUGUCUUAUGUUGCCAGCACGUAAUGGUGGGGACUCGUAAGAGACUGCCGGGGUCAACUCGGAGGAAGGUGGGGACGACGUCAAGUCAUCAUGCCCCUUAUGUCCAGGGCUUCACACAUGCUACAAUGGCCAGUACAGAGGGCUGCGAGACCGUGAGGUGGAGCGAAUCCCUUAAAGCUGGUCUCAGUUCGGAUCGGGGUCUGCAACUCGACUGCGUGAAGUCGGAAUCGCUAGUAAUCGUGAAUCAGAAUGUCACGGUGAAUACGUUCCCGGGCCUU
rnacentral:rRNA from 1 species